rnacentral:tRNA from 1 species
CCUGAUGGCUAAGAUGGUAAAGAGUCUGCCUGCAAAGCAGGAGAGCCGGGUUUGAUCCCUGGGUCAGGA